UACAGAGGUGGCAAGCGUUGUUCGGAAUUACUGGGCGUAAAGAGCGCGCAGGCGGUCGAUCAAGUCGACGUGUGAAGCCCCGGCUCAACUGGGAGGUCACGCGAUGACUGAUCGACUCGAAGGCAGGAGAGGGUAGUGGAAUUCCGGUGUAGUGGUGAAAUGCGUAGAUAUCGGGAGGAACACCAGUGGCGAAGGCGACUACCUGGCCUGUUCUUGACGC
rnacentral:rRNA from 1 species